AAAUAUAUCUCAAAUCUUAAAAAGUACUUUCAAGUUUGUUUUUAAAUAAAUAUCCAAUAGAUGAAGGGUGUGGCACUCCCAGUUUUCAAGUUGUGGAUCAUGAAGAGAUUGUACCAGCUCAUGCAAAGGCAUUGGAUGGACAGAGGGUCGGAGAAUUGUGGAGCUUGGUGUCUUACAAGCCUGCCAGAAGUGUGGUCUCCUCUUCAAUACCUUGCAGUAAUACAUCCUGCAAGCUGGUAAACAAUAUACCAACCGGGAAGAGGUGUGACAGAAUUUGGGCUGCAAACGUAAAGCUUGCUGCUGAUGUUCGAGGAUAAUGGUCUCAUCCGAACAACCCCACAACUUUCACUUCAAUUGCUGAGUGUUUGCAGAAGGAACAGUUGCUACCUAAUACAUGCCUUAUGUACGUCACGUUCCAGGGAUCAAACCCAGGCCUCUCACUUACCGAACUAACGUUCUACCAACUGAGCUAUGGAAUCAUAUGUGACAUUGCUGAUAUUAGUUAUUUUUAAUGUUUCCACUACUCUGUUGUCAAACUUGGUUUUGACUCACACUUGUAAUAUUUUGCUGUGAAAUAUGCUCAAAAAAAGUUAAUGCUGCCUAAGCUCAUCA